CUGGGUGAGCCUUGGCCAUGACUCUUGCCUUUGUCAGGACUUCCCUGGGACCUGCUGCUGCCAGGGCCUGGCUCUCUGCCUUGCACAGAAGGAGACCAGACAGAGGAUGAUUAAGUGACUUGCCAAAAAUUCACACUAUGGAGCAGAACAGCAAACUGAACCGCAAUGCAAUACAAAGAAGGCAAAGAGCUUCCUGAAGAUUAGGAAUGGAAGAGGCCUUCCCUUUUAGAUGAAUUCCAACUGGCAUUAGCACACGUGAAUUCAAAAAUCUUUGGAGGAUGAUUCCAAAUACCUAUCUUAUUAUUUACAGGCUGAGGUUAUUGUCUCAUUGAGUCUUUCCUUCUUGCCCCUACUCUUUAUCCAUACAUUUACAUCUACUAUACCAUUACCAUCACUUUCCAAUUUCUCAGCCUUCUCCCCAGCCUGGUUCUUAUGUUCUGCUUGCUUCCAGUUUUCUCUCGCAAGGCCCAGUCUCAUCACCCCACUAUAUACCUGCUGUAUAUUGUUUGUGUCUUACUGGUUUAUGCAUAACUAGUUCCAGAAUUUUUUAGAAGUUACUUUCAAGUAAAGAGUAUUUAAAUAGGUGCAGAAGUUUGACUUUCUUGGAUCAUGUCUUGACUUCCUAUGUUUCUUCCACGCUGUUUCUCUGGUUCCUAUCUUGGCAUCAAGGAUAAAUUUAAAUACCUACUUUUUUUUUUUUUUUUUUUUUUUUUUAAUGGAAGAUUUUUGUUCUUUUAUACUCAGAACCAAACUUUCAAGUCCUGUGUUGAAGAAACAGGGUAGUAUAGCAGUUCUCAUAUAAACGAUGGAGAGAUUCCAGGUGAAUGUCCAACACCUUUAUUCUGAAUCUUACCUGUUUUUUCAUUUCAAUUAAAAGAAACUUAAAAGCUAUUGUGUAAUGAUGAUGAUGUUGAUUAUGCUAAUGACAAGCGCUAUUAUAUUAGUUGCCUCAGGGUUAUUUUGCAAUCAUGAAUAGGACAAAAUUAUAAGAAAUGGCAAGAAAAAUGGUUCAGGAAACAAUUUUUCUGAGAUGUCUUCUGAGUUCUGAAAAAAAUUAAAAUUUUUCUGAUUAGCAUGUAUACUCAGGUAUGGGUCAGAUGUAACCCUUCUUUUUUUAAA